GUGAUCAAUGAAGGCCCUUAGAAUUCCGAAUUGAUGAUUGCAUCUUUUUGAAGGUGUCAUCAAUGAGGAAUAUCUUGCACUUCCGCAAGGAGGGAAAGCUGAGACCAAGGUACGUAGGUUCCUUAGGGAUUCUAGAGACAGAAUCAGGAUCCUAACGUAUUGUCUUGCAUUGUCGCCAAAGUGGGUGUAAGUGCAUGGCAUCUUUUCACGUGUUGAUGUCGAGGACAUAUGAGCCUGACUCGACCCACGUGCUAAAUCUUAAAAGAAUUAGGCGUGGAUGACAGAGUGUCGUACGUGGAAAGUUGGUUCAGUUAUUGGUUCAAAAAGAUCAGAUUCUAUCUGCCAAGAUGGUCUCCUUCUUUAAAGUGGUCCGACAACGCCACAAGACCGAAGAGACAGCGUGGAAAAGUGAGACUCGAUGAGACGACAGCACCCCACCUUUUGUUUAAGGAUUAGAAAAGGUUUAAAUUUCGAGGACGAAAUUUUUAUAAGAGGGGAAGAGUUGUGACAUCCUGAUUUUCAGGUUCUGAUUUCAAUCGGAUAAGUUGGGCCUUUCAUCAACGUAACUAUAGUGUUCAUCUCUGAGAUGGCCACUCAUGAGAUAACUGACCUAUC
rnacentral:lncRNA from 1 species